UCCUGUGUCAAUCGUUCAUUUUCUGCGAUUCGGUCGUUCAAGUACUGAUUACAGCAACGACUGAGAUCUUUUCAGUCGUUCAUCAGUCAUCAGUCAUUUUUUCGGUACUUCGGUCCAAUCAGUCUCUUCGUUCCUCACGAAUGUAUCGGUAUUCGGUACUCAGUCUCAGUCGUCAGUCUCAGUCGUGAAUCGGACGAUGAGACUCCAAGACGUCUCGAUUGCGCACGCUCGUUUCGUAUAGUUUCGCGUUUCGUUAUAGGUCGUCCGACGACGCGGGUUCAAAAUCGCUGCAUUAUUGUAAUAUUUUUCCCGAUUGUAUGCACUAUUAUGAUGUAAUUGCCUAUCUUUUUAAUUGAGCUUUUAUUUUUAAACGUGUUUAAUCAUUAUGUUAAGAUUUAUAGAUACUAAAACCUUAUGCAUCUCAUAUACCUACACGUGUUGCCUAAAUGAAGUAGGUAGAUACCUACGAUUUUACAAUGAACAUAACAACAAGGUUUCAUUCUUCGUUCUCGGUGGUUCUCGGUUCGUGGCGACUGGUUGAACCGGAUCGGUCAAAAACGACUGAUUCGUUCAUCAGUACUUUUGCGCGACCUCAGUCAAAUGACCGAAUCGGUCGCGACUGACACAGGACUACUGGGUUGACCUCUGCGAUUAUCCCUAAUGUGGAUAACUCGGACGCGUAAUUUUUGGUAGUGGGGACUGCGUAC